CAGACAGUGUCUGGUGGGUAGUUUGACUGGGGCGGUCUCCUCCUAAAGAGUAACGGAGGAGCACGAAGGUUGGCUAAUCCUGGUCGGACAUCAGGAGGUUAGUGCAAUGGCAUAAGCCAGCUUGACUGCGAGCGUGACGGCGCGAGCAGGUGCGAAAGCAGGUCAUAGUGAUCCGGUGGUUCUGAAUGGAAGGGCCAUCGCUCAACGGAUAAAAGGUACUCCGGGGAUAACAGGCUGAUACCGCCCAAGAGUUCAUAUCGACGGCGGUGUUUGGCACCUCGAUGUCGGCUCAUCACAUCCUGGGGCUGAAGUAGGUCCCAAGGGUAUGGCUGUUCGCCAUUUAAAGUGGUACGCGAGCUGGGUUUAGAACGUCGUGAGACAGUUCGGUCCCUAUCUGCCGUGGGCGCUGGAGAACUGAGGGGGGCUGCUCCUAGUACGAGAGGACCGGAGUGGACGCAUCACUGGUGUUCGGGUUGUCAUGCCAAUGGCACUGCCCGGUAGCUAAAUGCGGAAGAGAUAAGUGCUGAAAGCAUCUAAGCACGAAACUUGCCCCGA
rnacentral:rRNA from 1 species